GGCCCUGCAAAAAUUCAGGGAUGGCUACAACAAUCAGCAAUCACCAAUCAGGUGUUGGUAUAUUGUUUGGCUAAGAAAUGAAGAUCAUCCUGCCAAAUUUGGAGGGGUUUGGGGUUUAAACCUUCCCAAUAUGCAUGGUAAUUAUCCCCGCUGGUGGAUUAAAACUGGUACUGUUUCUUUUCCCUGCUUAACAUUUGAUGUAUACGGU
rnacentral:misc_RNA from 1 species